GCAAGCUGCUGGAAUGGAGUGGGUUCUUAAUUCCUGGACUCUUUGAUGUUACUAAGAAAAACUAAGACAAUAGCCUUAAUGUGAAGAAGGAUGUGUUUGCUUCCCCUUCUGCCAUGAUUGUAAGCUUCCUGAGGCCUCGCCAGCUAUGCUGAACUGACAAUGUUGUAAACCUUGAAUAACAUCAUGGGACCCAUACAAAGUGGCACUGGUGAUGCUAGAAGUGCUCUCAACAAACAGAAAAAUAUCAUGACAUUAUAAGAAAAAGUUGAACUGCAUGAUAUACCAUAGAUUGAGGUCUGCAGCUGCAGUUGCCUGCCAUUUCAAGAUAAGUGAAUCCAGUAUAAGGAAUGUUAUUUUAAAAAAAAGAAAAGAAGAGAAAAUGCAUGAAGCCAUCUCUACAGCUAUGCCAGGAGGCUUGAAAACGAUGCACUAUUUGUAAACUUUUUAUUUUGUAUUGAAAAUGCAGCUUUUAUGUGAGUGCAGGAGUGCCAUAAGAAACAUACACCUACAGAAUGAUAUCAUUUGAGGAGAAGUGAAGUCAUUAAAUGGCAACUUAAGGGAAAGGAAGGUGAAGGAUUUAAGGCUGGAAAAUUUAAUGCCAGCAAAGGAUGGUUCAAUAAUUUUAGAAAAUGUCAAGAUAACAAGAGAAGGAGCUUCUGCUGACCAAGAGGGAGCAAAUGAGUUCCCAGACAUCAUUAAGAAAAUCAUUAAGGAGAAAGAAUGUCUGCCUGAACAGGUUUUUAAUGCAGAUGAAAGUGCCCUAUUCUGGAAAAAAAAAAGCCAUAAAGGACAUUUAUUAUCAAAGAAGAGAAGCAAGCACCUGGAUUUAUGGCAGAAAGGAAUAGACUAACUACUGUUUUGUGAAAAUGCAGUCAGGUUUAUAAUCAAAACUGCCCUUAUGUAUAAAGCUGCUAACCCAUGAACCUUAAAGGAAAAAGAUAAAUACCAGCUGCCAGUCUUUUGGUAGUAUAACAAGAAGGCCUGAAAAGUGACAGCCUUUUUUCCUGAAUUGGUUUUAUUGAUGCUUUGCCCCUGAAGUCAGGAAGUAUCUUGCCAGUAAGGGACUGGCUUUUAAACUUCUUUUGAUAUUGGACAAUACUCUUGUCACCCAGAACCCCAUGAGUUCAACACCAAAGAUGUUGAAGUUGUCUACUUGCCCUCAAACACAACACCUCUAACUCAGCCUCUAAAUCAGGGGUUUAUAAGAACCUUUUAGACUCAUUGUAUACAGUACUCAUUGGAAAGGAUUGUCAACGCCAUGGAAGAGAACUCUAAUAGAGAGAACAUCAUGAAAGUCUGGAAGGAUUACACCUUGAAAAUGCCAUCAUUGUUAUAGAAAAAGCCGUAAAAGCCAUCGUUCCCCACACAAUAAAUUCCUGCUGCAGAAAGUUGUGUCCAAAUAUGGUGCACGACUUCACAGAAUUUACAAUAGAGCCAAUCAAGAAAAUCAUGAAAGAGAUUGUGGAUAUGGAAAGAAAAAGUUUGUGGAGGUGAAGUGUUUCAAGAUAUGGAGAAAUUUAAGAGCUAACAGACACCACACCAGGGGAAUUAACAGGAGAAAAUUUGAUGGAGGUGAAUGCUUCCAAACCAGUGCCAGAUGAUAAGAAAGAAGACAUAGAAGAAGCAGUGUCAGAAAAAAUAUUCAACAUUAGUCAAUCUGGAAGAAGGGUUUCAAUUAUUAAGGACUGCCUUUGACUUUUUUUUUUUAAGACAUUGACCCUUCUGUAAUAUGGG